UCAUGUUGAAACAUUGGUUCCCAUAGGAUCACUGAGGUUAAGCAACAUCAAGUCUGGUCAGUACCUAGAUGGGUGACUGCUUGGAAAUACCAGGUGCUGUAA